rnacentral:rRNA from 1 species
UAACACGUAGGAACGUACCCCAAAGUGAGGGAUAAGCACCAGAAAUGGUGUCUAAUACCGCAUGUGGCCUCAGGGCUAAAGCUUUAUGCGCUUUGGGAACGGCCUGCGCAUGAUUAGCUUGUUGGUGAGGUAAUAGCUCACCAAGGCGACGAUCAUUAGCUGGUCUGAGAGGAUGACCAGCCAGACUGGGACUGAGACACGGCCCAG